GCUGAGGUUUAGAGGGUCUACACCAGAAGUGAAUGGUUAUAGGAGGAAAAUACAUAGUGUGUACAAUUAAGCUUGGAUUGUGUUGAGUGCAGGGAAGCAAUUACAUGUGGCAGGCAUUGAUGAAGGGAGAGAGCCAUGGAUUACUGAUGGAGGGGUGUUGAGGUCAAGUCAGGUCACCUUAAGGGAGAAUUAUAAAUUUAUGGCCCGUAUCUCUUGUGUCCUGCCUAGCAGUUGUUAGGGUGAUGUUGCUGUUAAGCUACUGCGUAUUUAGUUUUGGUUUUGUUUAUUUGUGUGUGUAGAUUUUAAAGUUACUCUUUGAAAAGUCAACAAGUUUAUUUGAUCAAUGAUUCACUAGAGUUCUCACAUUUGAAAUAGCUGUGCUGUAGUUACCUAUAUUUUCAGGAAGUUUUAUGUAGGGUGGACCACAUGGACAGCCCCUUAGUGGUCAAUGAAAAUAAGGUCAUUUUCUUCAGUGUCACUAAUGAUCUCUGACAACAUCAGACGUGAGUCUCCAUAUCCUCCUCUGUAGGUUUCUGUGUCCUACCAAACACACAUCAGUUUUCUCACAUGACAAUCUAUGUGUGGAGUUCACUUCACUGACGGAAGAAAGUGGAAAAUAUGUCUUUGUCUUAUAUUCUUCUCAUUUAUGUUGCCGGUGUUGCGGUAAAAGAAAGUUGUGCAGAUUCGGUUCCCACUCCCACUAUUGUAUUUUCCUCUGGGUACAUCAAUGUAGCUACACCUGUUACAGUACGCUGUGAGUCACCAAAAGGCACAGAGUGCAUUUUCUACAGAGAUCAUGACCCCAACCAUAUAAGAAUAGUGGAUUACAAGCAGGGUGCUUGCCAGUUCAAGUUGUUAUGGAAUGAGUUCAAAAAGUGGAACAAGACUGAAGUAGAUCUCAGCUGUGUAAUUCUACAGAACAGAGAAGAUAAAACGAUCAAAACCUCAAAACCUAGUGAUGCUCGAAGACUUAAUGUGGGUGAUCCAAUUGGAAAGCCCAGUGUUCAUGUGGAGAAGAUUGGGAAUUACCUCAAUCUUCGAUGUGAGGCCAAGGCUGGCACCUCAUGCUACUUUUAUCUGAACAAUGGUGACUCACACUUCAAAAAACUACCCUACAAAGACAAUGUCUGUGUGGGGAGAGUGGCAGAAGAGGAACUGCAGAGGAAGAGGAGCAGUGCUGGAGAGAUCUUCAUCACCUGUGCUGUGGAGCUGGUGGUAGAGGGUGAAGAUACUGUGACAUCACAGCAUAGUGAACCCCUCGGUAUCACCAUAGAUGUUGUAAAUCCUCCAGGAGCAACUAGUUCCCCAUCAGCGUUCAGUUUAAUCAUAACUGUUCAGGAGGAGACAAGCACCAAUGUCACAGCCCAAGGAAGAGUUUCUUCAGGUCCAGUGUUCCUCGUCAUCAUCAGUCUGGUUGCUGGUUCCCUUUUCCUGGUUCUGCUAGCUGGGUCUGUGCUGUGUGUUCUCCAACGCAAGUGUGGAGUUCAAGGCAGGCAUGUAAAUACUGGAAGCCCACCUGAGCAGCAAGACCAAACCCCACCUUGUGUCUAUUCUGUCAUCACAAAGCCGUCUAGGGAUGAGGAAGAGGACAGUAGUCUGCAAUACACUACUGUGACAUCUACAAGUGACCGAGCUAGUCUUCAAUAUGCAACAGUGACAUCUACCGGUAACCAAGUUGGACCUGGGCGCACCAAGAUCAAGUUUGAAAUAGCUGGAGAGUACGCCCUCUUAGCAGAAUCAUAGAAGAAGAAACAUUUACUGGAUAACAUGUUUUGUUAUAGUUUACAGUUACAAUCCUAGCUUUUUUUCUUCAUAUUGGAUCAUAAUUUACUCAUAGCACAAAGAACACUGCCACAACAACGAAGAUAUCUACUAAUUUCCGAAAACAAGCAGCUUCAACUAUUUGCAUUUUAGGUUAAAUGAAAUAAAUGAAAAUUAAACUUUGUAUGAAACAUAGAAGAAAUAUUUUCCUAUAUUGAGUUACCCAAUAUAGUCAGCAGUCACCAAUCAGUAGUCACCAAUCUAUUUCACUCCUUGACAAGAGUCAAUAGAGACUCAAAUCCACAAGAGCGUAGAACACAUGUCAAACUUUGCUUGUUACAUCUCUACAUCUCUCUCUCCCUUUCUGAUCUCUCGCUCUCUACAUCUCUCUCUUUAACCUUGUCUGGUGUAUAUUAGUUUUCAGUGGUGGAAAAAAGUACUCAACUGUCAUACUUGAGGAAAAGUAAAGAUACCUUCAUAGAAAAUGACUCAAGUAAAAGUAAAAGUCACCCAGUAAAAUUCUACUAGAGUAAAACUCUAUAAGUAUUUGGUUUAAAAUAUACUUAAGUAUGAAAAUAAAAGUAUAAAUAAUUUCAAAUUCCUUAUUUUAAGCAAACCAGAAUCCACCAUUUUCUUUUUUUUCUCUUUUUUUUAACGGAAUGCCAGGGGCACACUCCAACACUCAGCCAUCAUUUACAAACAAAUCAUGUCAGUUUAGUGAGUCCGCCAGAUCAGAGGCAGUAGGGAUGACCAGGGAAGUUCGGUUGAUAAGUCUGUGAAUGUGACUAUUUUCCUGGCCUGCUAAGCAUUCAAAAUGUAACUAGUACUUUCGGGUCUCAAGGAAAAUGUAUGGAGUAAAAAGUACAAUAUUUUCUUAAGAAUGCAGUGAACCAAAAGGUAAAGUAGUCAAAAAUAUAAAUAGUAAAGUAUAGAUACC
ensembl:lncRNA